rnacentral:rRNA from 1 species
AUUGAACGCUGGCGGCAUGCCUUACACAUGCAAGCCGAACGGUAACAGGUUAAGCUGACGAGUGGCGAACGGGUGAGUAAUGUAUCGGAACGUGCCCAGUCGUGGGGGAUAACUACUCGAAAGAGUGGCUAAUACCGCAUACGACCUGAGGGUGAAAGCGGGGGCCCGUAAGGCCUCACCAGAUUGGAGCGGUCGAUAUCAGAUUAGCUAGUUGGUGGGGUAAAAGCCCACCAAGGCGACGAUCUGUAGCUGGUCUGAGAGGACGACCAGCCCCACUGGGACUGAGACACGGCACAGACUCCUACGGGAGGCAGCAGUGGGGAAUUUUGGACAAUGGACGCAAGUCUGAUCCAGCCAUGCCGCGUGCGGGAAGAAGGCCUUCGGGUUGUAAACCGCUUUUGUCAGGGAAGAAACGAGUUUCUCUAAUACAGAGACUUAAUGACGGUACCUGAAGAAUAAGCACCGGCUAACUACGUGCCAGCAGCCGCCGCCGUAA